rnacentral:rRNA from 1 species
GACGAACGCUGGCGGCGUGCCUAAUACAUGCAAGUAGAACGCUGAAGAGAGGAGCUUGCUCUUCUUGGAUGAGUUGCGAACGGGUGAGUAACGCGUAGGUAACCUGCCUUGUAGCGGGGGAUAACUAUUGGAAACGAUAGCUAAUACCGCAUAACAAUGGAUGACCCAUGUCAUUUAUUUGAAAGGGGCAAAUGCUCCACUACAAGAUGGACCUGCGUUGUAUUAGCUAGUGGGUGAGGUAACGGCUCACCUAGGCGACGAUACAUAGCCGACCUGAGAGGGUGAUCGGCCACACUGGGACUGAGACACGGCCCAGACUCCUACGGGAGGCAGCAGUAGGGAAUCUUCGGCAAUGGGGGCAACCCUGACCGAGCAACCCCGCGUGAGUGAAGAAGGUUUUCGGAUCGUAAAGCUCUGUUGUAAGUCAAGAACGAGUGUGAGAGUGGAAAGUUCACACUGUGACGGUAGCUUACCAGAAAGGGACGGCUAACUACGUG